AGUGAACGCUGGCGGUAGGCCUAACACAUGCAAGUCGAACGGCAGCACAGUAAGAGCUUGCUCUUACGGGUGGCGAGUGGCGGACGGGUGAGGAAUACAUCGGAAUCUACUUUUUCGUGGGGGAUAACGUAGGGAAACUUACGCUAAUACCGCAUACGACCUACGGGUGAAAGCAGGGGAUCUUCGGACCUUGCGCGAUUGAAUGAGCCGAUGUCGGAUUAGCUAGUUGGCGGGGUAAAGGCCCACCAAGGCGACGAUCCGUAGCUGGUCUGAGAGGAUGAUCAGCCACACGGGAACUGAGACACGGCACAGACUCCUACGAGAGGCAGGAGUGGGAAAUAUUGGAAAAGGGGCGAAAGCGUGAUCCAGCCAUACCGCGUGGGUGAAGAAGGCCUUCGGGUUGUAAAGCCCUUUUGUUGGAAAAAAAAAGCAGCAGGUUAAUACCCCGCUGUUCUGACGGUACCAAAAGAAUAGGAACGGGAUAACUUCG
rnacentral:rRNA from 1 species